rnacentral:rRNA from 1 species
CCCGCUGAACUUAAGCAUAUCAAUAAGCGGAGGAAAAGAAACUAACAAGGAUUCCCUCAGUAACUGCGAGUGAAGUGGGAAAAGCUCAAAUUUGAAAUCUGGCAGUCCUACAAACUGUCCGAAUUGUAAUCUAAAGAAGUGUUAUCUGUGCUGGACCAUGUAAAAGUCUUCUGGAAUGGAGCAUCAUAGAGGGUGAGAAUCCCGUCUUUGACAUGGACUACCAGUAUGUUAUGAUACACUCUCAAAGAGUCGAGUUGUUUGGGAAUGCAGCUCAAAAUGGGUGGUAAAUGCCAUCUAAAGCUAAAUAUUGGCGAGAGACCGAUAGCGAACAAGUACCGUGAGGGAAAGAUGAAAAGAACUUUGGAAAGAGAGUUAAACAGUACGUGAAAUUGCUGAAAGGGAAACGCUUGAAGUCAGUCAUGUCAGCUAGAAAUCAAGCUUGCUUCUGCAAGGUGUACUUUCUAGUUGAUAGGUCAGCAUCAAUUUUGACCGUUGGAUAAAGUCAUUGGGAAUGUGGCAUCUUUGGAUGUGUUAUAGCCCAUUGUUGGAUAUGACGAUCAGGAUUGAGGAACUCAGCAUGCCCCCUUGGGGCCAGGUUUUUACCAUGUUCAUGCUUAGGAUGCUGGCGUAAUGGCUUUAAUCGACCCGUCUUGAAACACGG